AGGGAGACCACAACACCUAUCAGC
rnacentral:siRNA from 1 species